rnacentral:rRNA from 1 species
AGUGAACGCUGGCGGCAGGCCUAACACAUGCAAGUCGAACGGCAGCACAAGAGCGCUUGCUCUCUGGGUGGCGAGUGGCGGACGGGUGAGGAAUGCAUCGGAAUCUGCCCAUUUGUGGGGGAUAAUCUCGGGAAACCGGGACUAAUACCGCAUACGACCUACGGGUGAAAGCAGGGGAUCUUCGGACCUUGCGCAGAUGGAUGAGCCGAUGCCGGAUUAGCUAGUUGGAGGGGUAAGGGCCCACCAAGGCGACGAUCCGUAGCUGGUCUGAGAGGAUGAUCAGCCACACUGGGACUGAGACACGGCCCAGACUCCGACGGUGGGCAGCGGUGGGGAAUAUUGGACAAUGGGCGCAAGCCUGAUCCAGCCAUGCCGCGUGUGUGAAGAAGGCCUUCGGGUUGUAAAGCGCUUUUGUUGGGAAAGAAAAGCAGCCGGUUAAUACCCGGUUGUCAUGACGGUACCCAAAGAAUAAGCACCGGCUAACUUCGUG